UACUUGGUAAGAUGACGUCAGCGCCAAAUGUAACGCAGCCAUUUUGUUAGCUAACCCUGCAGGUAACCGGUGGCGCGUGUUGUUGCUAAUUACGUGCGCUGUGCGUAGCAAAAUCGAACCAUUGAACUUCGAAAUUGACUUUGUUCUUUUCGACCGUUAGGGCAUAGGUAAGAAAAAGGGUCUGUGACUGCAAGUCGACUGCUCGAAAGGGAGCUCAUUCAUUAGUCAAGAUCUGUCGAGUUUUUGCUAGCUUCGAUAGCCAGUCAGCUAAGUAGUUUGCCGUCGAUAAAGGAAGAAAGUGACGCUGUUUGCGCCCCGCAGCCCAAGCAAAUCAAACGUUCGGGCAUUCAGAGGAAUACGAGUGUCUACGUCUGUAGUUUUUUUGCAAUUGGGUUUGCAUAAGGGAGAGCCUGAGUGGCAAACUCGAGCGCAUCGUUUUGCGUGAUUAGCUCCCUCGAAGCGGGGUAGCACCAGAGGCUUCAAGCUGGCUACCGGCCUUUCAGAAAACAUGUCCGAGUUGUACAUUCGGGUGGCCGAAGAUGAGAACGAAGAGCCGAUGGAGAUCCCCUCGGAGGACGACGGCACGGUUCUGCUCUCGUCUGUCGCGGCCCAAUUUCCAGGGGCGUGCGGUCUUCGCUACAGGAACCCCGAGUCCCAGUGCAUGCGCGGAGUCCGGCUUGUGGAGGGCGUCCUGCACGCUCCGGAGAGCGACUGGGGGAACCUGGUCUACGUGGUCAACUACCCCAAAGACAACAAAAGAAAGAUGGAGGAAAUAGACGCUGCUUCAGCUGUGAAAGUCAAACGGGGUUAUCAGAAAACAUCAGACCUGAUUGUUCUCGGCCUGCCCUGGAAAACCACUGAACAAGACCUGAAAGAUUAUUUCACCACUUUUGGCGAGGUCAUCAUGGUACAGAUCAAGAGGGAUGCAAACACUGGGAACUCCAAAGGGUUUGGCUUUGUGCGUUUCACCGAAUAUGAAACCCAAGUUAAAGUGAUUUCUCAGAGACACAUGAUAGACGGACGAUGGUGCGACUGCAAGCUCCCCAACUCCAAGUCAUUUACAGAUGAGCCCAUGCGGAGUCGGAAAAUCUUUGUGGGCCGCUGCACGGAGGACAUGACCCCCGAUGAGCUGCGACAGUACUUCAUGCAGUACGGAGAAGUCACGGACGUCUUCAUCCCCAAACCCUUUCGGGCCUUUGCGUUCGUCACCUUCGCCGAUGAUCAGGUGGCCCAGGCCUUGUGCGGAGAGGACCUGAUCAUCAAGGGCGUCAGCGUGCACAUCUCUAACGCCGAGCCCAAACACAAUAAUAGUAGGCAAAUGAUGGAGAGGGGUCGAUUUGGGGCGGGCGGUUUUAGUCAGGCGUAUGGCGCGAGUCGUGGCGGGCUGGGUGCAGGGGGUGGCGGAGGGAAGGGUGGGGUCAACUUCAGCGCCCUGGGUCUCAAUCCGGCCAUGGUGGCCGCUGCCCAGGCGGCGCUGCAGAGCAGUUGGGGCAUGAUGGGCAUGCUGGCCAACCAGCAGGGAAUGAGCACGGCGGCUGGGGGCUCGGCCGCCACCACCCGCGAUCAGACGUACAGCUCAUCCAGCGCCAGUUACAGCAGUUCCACCACUGCCGGGCUAGGCUGGCCUGCAGGCACUAAUUCUGCCUCAGGCGGCGGUGGUGGCGGUUUCAGCUCGGGCUUCAGCGCCUCCAUGGAGACAAAGUCUUCCAACUGGGGCAUGUAGAUAAAUAGGCGUCAGUAUCCUAGACCGGGGCUCGGGUUCUGCCGUUAGAUUAGAUACCACAACGUUUAGUUGGAUGUUUUCAUCAAUUUAGCUUAGCACUCAGAGACUGUACAGAAAAAUGUUCCCAAGCCCUGGUCUAGGCACAUCUGGUAAGUACUAUAACAAAAACGAAACAAAAGAGGAAAAAAAACACUGCCUUUUUUUUUUUUUUGUUAACAACAAACAUGAAAUGUGUGUGUGUGGCACAAGUCAUGAGUGAAUUUAGUCAACUGCUUUUCAGAAAAUAAUGUGCAUGCAGCAUUGUCUGUAAACGUGAGCGAGUAGCACACGAGUGACAGCCAGUCCCUCUCAAAGUGGGCUUGAUAUUAUUGUGUUAUGGAUGCAGUGCAUUUCUAUUUUCUUUUUUCUUCUGACCUGACCUGAUGGAAACGCCUCACCGACCAUCUCUCCUGCAGUAAACCAACUGUUUCGCAAUCUCCCGGGAGGAAGCGCCUCACUGGCAGCAAUGUUCUACAGAUCUCAGUAUCACGUGUAAACGCUUUGCCAUCAGCACCACACAAGCUUCACUCUGCAUUUACUGUGCUCCACGGGGCCCUCGGACAUGGAACACCGGAACCAGGAGUCGCUCACGGUGGGAAGUUGAAGACCGCGGGAGAACUCGCAAUGGAAUUUCUACACGAAUGCCUUAAAUCCAGAAAAGGAUCAUCUUCAUUCCAUGCACAAGAAUCCUUGGACCCUCCAAUGUGUAGUUGGCCCCAAGUCUCAUCGAAAACCUCUGCAGUCCAUUCUAAUGACAGGUUGUUGUUUUUUUCUUCAUAUCAUUGUAUAUUUGGUUCGCACAAGCUGAUCUUGUAAGGGAAUAAUAAUGGACAAAUCAUUUAGCCUUGUGGAAAAAUAAAAGCUUUUGAUUUG